AACGUAAACGAGCAGUGUCAGAUGAAAUAUGGCCCCACUUCCUAUAUGUGCUUGGAUGUGAACUCUAGCGUCAGUGUUUGUAAGAGGCUCUACUGUUACCUUCCCCAUCGGCCGGGAUUGUGCAGUAGCAUCAACGCCGUGGACGGUACAACGUGUGGCAACAGACAGGAACAACGGCUCUAGCACGAGUCUGACGAUCCAAAUGGUCCCACAAGUGUUCAAAUGGUGACAUGUCAGGUGACCUGGAGGGCAAAGGAAGUACAUUGACGUUGUUUCUCUGUAGACAAUCCAUGACAAUACGUGAUGUAUGAGGACGGGCGUUGUCCUGCAGGAACAUGAUCCGGUUAGGGCGUUGACGUAGGAAUGAUAGCACAACCAGACACAGAAUUUGAUCAAUGUAUCGUUGAGCAGUGAGAUUAACAUCCACCGCAACAAGAUCUGUCAUAAUAUCGUCACAUAUCCCGACCCAAACCAUAACACUACCGCCGCCACACGGUUCCACUUCCUGUAACGCUGCACACGUUCUCC